GACGAACGCUGGCGGCGUGCUUAACACAUGCAAGUCGAGCGGAAAGGCCCUUCGGGGUACUCGAGCGGCGAACGGGUGAGUAACACGUGAGUAACCUGCCCCAGACUUUGGGAUAACCCUCGGAAACGGGGGCUAAUACCGGAUACGACACAGCUUCGCAUGGGGUCUGUGUGGAAAGUUUUUCGGGUUGGGAUGGGCUCGCGGCCUAUCAGCUUGUUGGUGGGGUGAUGGCCUACCAAGGCGACGACGGGUAGCCGGCCUGAGAGGGCGACCGGCCACAAUGGGACUGAGACACGGACCAGACUCCUACGGGAGGCAGCAGUGGGGAAUAUUGACCAAUGGGCGGAAGCCUGAUGCAGCGACGCCGCGUGAGGGAUGACGGCCUUCGGGUUGUAAACCUCUUUCAGCAGGGACGAAGCGUAAGUGACGGUACCUGCAGAAGAGGCGCCGGCCAACUACGUG
rnacentral:rRNA from 1 species